UUCAAAACCAUGUUGUGUACAGCCAAGGACAGCCCAGGGCCUGGGACCUACGCUCACGAUGUGGUGACUGACAGGAAGGUGAGCUGGCCGAUGUGCUUCGGGAGCCCUGAUUGGUCCAGACUGCCUCAGAUAGAGAAGAAGUCCCUCAGAGUGAAGCUAAACAAUGAAAAGGAGUUCAUGAAGCACAGAAGGAGAGUGGCCUACCUGAGUCUGUACUAUCCAUUGUAAAGUUAAUUGACAAAUGCCAAUACAACAUUGACUUAAGAAGUUUCCUUUUUCAAAUGUUUUAAACUAAAUAUUUACCAAC